AAAAAAAAACUAACAAACCAAAAACAACAAACUGUCCAAACAGGCGAGCGACCAGUGAAACCAGUUACACUGGUCUAACAGGUUAGAGUCACUGAACUGGUCUAACUGGUUAAACUGGUCUAACUGGUUUCCCUCAGUCCUCCUCAGAGUCCAUGUUGAGUCUCUGAUCCUGAUCCAGAGUCACUCUGGUUUCUCUUGAUCACAGUCAGACAUGUAAACAGUGUUCUUUAUCACCAUGGUAACAGUGUUCGUUAUCACCAUGGCAACAGUGUUCCUUAUCACCAUGGCAACAGUGUUCCUUAUCACCAUGGUAACGGUGUUCGUUAUCACUAUGUUAACAGUGUUCGUUAUCACCAUGGUAACAGUGUUCGUUAUCACCAUGGUAACAGUAGUCAGUUAUCACCAUGGUAACAGUAGUCAGUUAUCACCACGGUAACCAGACGCUGGCAGAUUAUCCAAUCAGAGAGAAAAAAAGAAACACCCGGAACUUUCCCUUUGAUCUGAACAUGUGGACAGGUGGGCGGGACCACAGGUGUCAGAUUACUGAUCAGAUUAUUGGAGUCAGAUUAUAACUCAGAGCUGACCUGAUCUGAUUGUUGAUCCUGUUUUUAGUUUUUAGAUCCUGAUGUUGGUGACGUUUG